rnacentral:rRNA from 1 species
GAUGAACGCUGGCGGCGUGCCUCAUACAUGCAAGUCGAGCGAAGCGGGGACGGGUGAGUAACACGUUGAUAACCUCAUAUAAGACUGGCAUAACUUCGGGAAACCUGAUCUAAACCGGACACUUAUAGAUGGAUCCGCGCUGCAUGAGCUAGUUGGUAAGGUAACGGCUUACCAAGGCAACGAUGCCUAGCCGACCUGAAAGGGUGAUCGGCCACACGGGAACUGAGACACGGUCCAGACUCAUACGGGAGGCAGCAGUAGGGAAGCGUACGCAAUGGGCGAAAGCCUGACGGAGCAACGCCGCGUGAGUGAUGAAGGUCUUCGGAUCGUAAAACUCUGUUAUUAGGGAAGCGGUACCUAAGCAGAAAGCCACGGCUAACUACGUGCCAGCAGCCGCGGUAAUAC